UACGUAGGGUGCGAGCGUUGUCCGGAAUUAUUGGGCGUAAAGAGCUCGUAGGCGGUUUGUCGCGUCUGCUGUGAAAAUCCGAGGCUCAACCUCGGACUUGCAGUGGGUACGGGCAGACUAGAGUGUGGUAGGGGAGACUGGAAUUCCUGGUGUAGCGGUGGAAUGCGCAGAUAUCAGGAGGAACACCAAUGGCGAAGGCAGAUCUCUGGGCCGUAACUGACGCUGAGGAGCGAAAGCAUGGGGGAGCAAACAGG
rnacentral:rRNA from 1 species